rnacentral:rRNA from 1 species
CCUACGGGCGGCAGCAGUGAGGAAUAUUGGUCAAUGGGCGCAAGCCUGAACCAGCCAAGUCGCGUGCGGGAUGACGGUCCUAUGGAUUGUAAACCUCUUUUGUCGGGGAGCAAGGCCCGCCACGUGUGGCGGGAAGGAGAGUACCUGCAGAAAAAGCAUCGGCUAACUCUGUGCCAGCAGCCGCGGUAAUACGGAGGAUGCGAGGUUUAUCCGGAUUUAUUGGGUUUAAGGGGUGCGUAGGCGGCUGGUUAAGUCAGCGGUAAAAUAUCGGUUCUCAAAACCGGCCUGCCUUUGAUACUGGUGAACUAGAGUGAGCGAGAGGUAUGCGGAAUGCGAGGUGUAGCGGUGAAAUGCGUAGAUAUCACGCAGAACUCCGAAUGCGAAGGCAGCAUACCGGCGCUCAACUGACGCUGAGGCACGAAAGCGUGGGGAGCGAACAGGAUUAGAUACCCGUGUAGUC